rnacentral:tRNA from 9 species
GGUCCUAUAGCUCAGUUGGUCAGAGCACCUGACUCAUAAUCAGGGAGUCCUUGGUUCAAGCCCAAGUGGGACCA